rnacentral:tmRNA from 1 species
GGUGGUGAGUAAGCAUACAGAGUGAUGAUGCCCACACUCUUUAAUCAGAGACAUCAAAAAUUCAAAUGGCGAAAACAACUACGCUCUCGCUGCUUAAUCGAAGCACAGUAGAUUAGCUUUAUCGCCGCAACAGUUGCGGCGACGAGACAUCACCCGAUUGUCCUUUUUCCGAGACUAAUCGAUCAGGUGGUGCAGGUAAAUCGGAAAUAUGGCGAUGACAGCCUCGAUAGUCGCCGAGACCCUUAGAGGAUAAGGUUAUGAUUGGCCGUCUCUUGCCUGUUAUGACACGAAAACCAACAUGAGAAUAAGUAUGUAGAAAGCUCAUUGUCCGAACGACUGGACGAGGGUUCAAACCCCUCCAGCUCCACUG